GACAUUUACUUCUUUUUCAGAACUUAUGAAUGUCAUCUUCAAAUGUUUCAAUAAAACCAUCAUAACAAGUAUGGAGACCUUUUCUACUACUGUAGGUGUUCUUUGUCAUUUCUCUCUAACAUGUUAUACUUGUUGACAGUGGUGUGUAAUCUCAAUUUUCAUUAUGUUAGCUCCAGUGAUCUCUUGUGUAUGCUUUUGGCUCGGUAAAUCUUUUUUAGGUUCAUGUCCUUUGGAUAAUCAAUCCGAGUGAAUUAGUGGUUGCAGUUUUGCCAUCCAUGUACAGUGUAGACACGUAUAUUCUCAGACACUCAGAGUUUGUGUCUCUGAAACCAGAUGAGUGGCUCAUAGGCGAGACCAUUGAAUGUUACUUUCAAGUAGUGAAAGAAUCCAUGGACUUGGGGAAGAAGGUUUUCCUAAUGCACCACUACACAACUGGUGUAAUCAUGUGUGGGAAUAGAGAGCUCAUGGCUAGACAAUGUUUGUCCAAGGUAAGGACAUCAAACACAAAUGUUGAUGGAUUACAUUAGUGAGGGGCAAACAUGGUUUUUCACUAACUGAUAAUUGUUUUAUCAAUAGAGAAACAAGGAGAGCUACAAGCAAUCAAAACAGGUCACAACUGUGCCCAUGGUGCUGCCUAAAGAAACUACCUUUAUAGUCAGAAAUCAAAAUUCAAAGGUAGCACACCAUCCCUGUGAGGCAGCCUGUUGUACUAAUCUUGUCAUUCUUUUCAUUACAGGUCAACUUUGAAAACUAUGAAGCCAUAAUUAGCUUUUUUAACACUGGUGUCCAUUGGAAAUUGUUGGUAAGUUUGGUGCAGGUAAUCCAAAACAGCAUAGGUUUAUAAUUA
rnacentral:lncRNA from 1 species